rnacentral:rRNA from 1 species
GAGCGGUAACAGGCGUAGCAAUACGUGCUGACGAGCGGCGAACGGGUGAGUAAUGCUUCGGAAUCUACCCAGUAGUGGGGAAUAACCAUCCGAAAGGGUGGCUAAUACCGCAUACGCCCUACGGGAGAAAGCGGGGGAUCGUAAGACCUCGCGUUAUUGGAUGAGCCGAAGCCGGAUUAGCUAGUUGGUAGGGUAACGGCCUACCAAGGCGACGAUCCGUAGCUGGUCUGAGAGGACGACCAGCCACACUGGGACUGAGACACGGCCCAGACUCCUACGGGAGGCAGCAGUGGGGAAUAUUGGACAAUGGGGGAAACCCUGAUCCAGCGACGCCGCGUGUGUGAAGAAGGCCUGCGGGUUGUAAAGCACUUUUAGUGGGGACAAAAAGCUACGGAUUAAUACUCUGUGGUCUUGAUUUAACCCAAAGAAAAAGCACCGGCUAACUCUGUGCCAGCAGCCGCGGUAAUACAGGAGGUGCGAGCGUUAAUCGGAAUUACUGGGCGUAAAGCGCGCGUAGACGGUUUUGUAAGUCAGAUGUGAAAUCCCUGGGCUCAACCUGGGAACUGCAUUUGAGACUGCAUGGCUAGAGUAUCGAAGAGGGAAGUGGAAUUUCCGGUGUAGCGGUGAAAUGCGUAGAUAUCGGAAGGAACACCAGUGGCGAAAGCGACUUCCUGGUCGAAUACUGACGUUCAUGUGCGAAAGCGUGGGGA